AAAUUCGCAAUAAAAUAUAUCACGUUCAUAAAUUUUGGUAAAUUGCUGAAAAAUGAGGAAAAUUUUACAUUUUCUCAAACAGAGUAUGGAACUUGGUUCCUCGAAUAACUUCUGACACAGACAUCUGAGGGCAUGGCCGUCCAAGAAGAAAAUGUAGCCAUUGGUGCCAUCUAUCGACCACAGGUUAAAGAUUGGCGAUCCGUUGGAUACCGACAGAGUUAUAGUCAAAUUUUGGUGCAAAAAUGAGCCCAGGAGAUGGACAAUUUUAUAGAUUUUUUUGUUAUUUUAUUAAAAAUCUUCAAUCUUUUUCAAUUUAAAGCAUUAUUUGAGUGAAAAGAAACUUAUUGCAACCAAUUGGCAUUAAAAUAAAUCAAUUUAAUUUUUUUUUGCUAAAUUUCUCAAAAAAAUGGCAAGGGGUACCCCUUAUGAAAUUUUCGAGUGAAAAAUUUUUUUGAAAUUUUUUUCUGAUUUUGUAUUCUUUUUUUAAUUUAAAGCAUUAUUUGAGGGAAAAGAAACUUAUUGCAACAAAUUCGCAAUAAAAUAUAUCACGUUUAUAAAUUUUGGUAAAUUGCUGAAAAAUGAGGAAAAUUUUACAUUUUCUCAAACAGGGUAUGGAACUUGGUUCCUCGAAUAACUUCUGACACAGACAUCUGAGGGCAUGGCCGUCCAAGAAGAAAAUGUAGCCAUUGGUGCCAUCUAUCGACCACAGGUUAAAGAUUGGCGAUCCGUUGGAUACCGACAGAGUUAUAGUCAAAUUUUGGUGCAAAAAUGAGCCCAGGAGAUAAACAAUUUUAUAGAUUUUUUUGUUAUUUUAUUAAAAAUUUUCAAUCUUUUUCAAUUUAAAGCAUUAUUUGAGUGAAAAGAAACUUAUUGUCACCAAUUGGCAUUAAAAUAAAUCAAUUUAAUUUUUUUUGCUAAAUUUCUCAAAAAAAUGGCAAGGGGUACCCCUUAUGAAAUUUUCGAGUGGAAAAUUUUUUUGAAAUUUUUUUCUGAUUUUGUAUUCUUUUUUUAAUUUAAAGCAUUAUUUGAGGGAAAAGAAACUUAUUGCAACAAAUUCGCAAUAAAUUAUAUCACAUUUAAAAAUUUUGCUGAAUUGCAGAAAAAUGAGGAAAAUUUUACAUUUUCUCAAACAGAGUAUGGAACUUGGUUCCUCGCAUAACUUCUUACACAGACAUCUGAGGGCAUGGCCGUCCAAGAAGAAAAUGUAGCCAUUGGUUCCAUCUAUCGACCACAGGUUAAAGAUUGGCGAUCCGUUGGAUACCGACAGAGUUAUAGGCAAAACUUGGUGCAAAAAUGAGUAAAAUUUUACAUUUUCUCAAACAGGGUAUGGAACUUGGUUCCUCGAAUAACUUCUGACACAGACAUCUGAGGGCAUGGCCGUCCAAGAAGAAAAUGUAGCCAUUGGUGCCAUCUAUCGACCACAGGUUAAAGAUUGGCGAUCCGUUGGAUACCGACAGAGUUAUAGUCAAAUUUUGGUGCAAAAAUGAGCCCAGGAGAUAAACAAUUUUAUAGAUUUUUUUGUUAUUUUAUUAAAAAUUUUCAAUCUUUUUCAAUUUAAAGCAUUAUUUGAGUGAAAAGAAACUUAUUGCAACCAAUUGGCAUUAAAAUAAAUCAAUUUAAUUUUUUUUGCUAAAUUUCUCAAAAAAAUGGCAAGGGGUACCCCUUAUGAAAUUUUCGAGUGGAAAAUUUUUUUGAAAUUUUUUUCUGAUUUUGUAUUCUUUUUUUAAUUUAAAGCAUUAUUUGAGUGAAAAGAAACUUAUUGCAACAAAUUCGCAAUAAAAUAUAUCACAUUUAUAAAUUUUGCUAUAUUGCUGAAAAAUGAGGAAAAUUUUACAUUUUCUCAAACAGGGUAUGGAACUUGGUUCCUCGAAUAACUUCUUACACAGACAUCUGAGGGCAUGGCCGUCAAAGAAGAAAAUGUAGCCAUUGGUGCCAUCUAUCGACCAAAGUUUAAAAUUUGGCGAUCCGUUGGAUACCGACCGAGUUAUAGGCAAAACUUGGUGCAAAAAUGAGUAAAAUUUUACAUUUUCUCAAACAGGGUAUGGAACUUGGUUCCUCGAAUAACUUCUGACACAGACAUCUGAGGGCAUGGCCGUCCAAGAAGAAAAUGUAGCCAUUGGUGCCAUCUAUCGACCACAGGUUAAAAAUUGGCGAUCCGUUGGAUACCGACAGAGUUAUAGUCAAAUUUUGGUGCAAAAAUUAGCCCAGGAGAUAGACAAUUUUAUAGAUUUUUUGUUAUUUUAUUAAAAAUUUUCAAUCUUUUUCAAUUUAAAGCAUUAUUUGAGUGAAAAGAAACUUAUUGCAACCAAUUGGCAUUAAAAUAAAUCAAUUUAAUUUUUUUUGCUAAAUUUCUCAAAAAAAUG